UUUCUGCACAUUAUGUAUGCAGCUGGCGGAGUAGUGCAGCUCUACAUAAUAUGUUAUUGUGUGCAACAGCUAUCAGAUGCGAGUGUUGAAAUAACGGAUUCUGCAUUUCACGAAAAAUGGUACCAAUACGGAGCAUACAUAAAACGUACAUUUCUGUUAAUGAUAAUGGCGAAUAAUUUAGAAAUUAAACUGUCAACGUUUGAAAAGUACAGUUUAUCUCUGUCUUCAUUUAUGGCAAUUUUAAAUCAAUCGUAUUCAAUCGCUCUUUUGCUAUUAAGAACUAGUUAAAACGUUGCUGAAAAUAUUUACUGUAAAAUGAAAUUAAUAUUGCGAUGUGUAGUAUAAUACGUUUAACAAUUGAAUAAAAUUUUAAAUAAGUAGUGAGCAAACAUUAGAAGAAAAUGUCAAUUUUAUUUUUGCAACUAGAACGUAAUAUUAUGCAGGAACUUAUUUCUUGUUCCAAUAUACUGUCACACGUAAUAAUGAAUAGUCUAUUGAUAAAAGAGACGUAUCAUAAUGUAUUUUAUUUAUAAUUUCAAAUAUGAAAGAAAUGUUUUGUGUACUUCUUUUUACAAUAAGCAAUGGUUCAAUAGCCAUGUGAAACAAAGAUAAUUAAUUUAAAUAAUCUAAA
rnacentral:misc_RNA from 1 species